rnacentral:sRNA from 13 species
AUAACUAAACUGCUCAAACAUUUGGAAUUAACUUGUUCGAGAACAAUCUUCGUUCAUCCCUCGUCAUACUUAAAAUGCCAUCGCAGUACGAUCUUUUUGAACCUUAAGCCGCUCAAGUGGACAGAAAAUUCUUGCUAAUUCAGUGAAGAUUCCCCUCCCCGGGAUCCUUUUUCACCUGCCGGAGACGCGAAACAGAUAUUGACAACACCCUUCGUCAAUAAACCAUAUCACACGAUCAUCACGACCAUCAUUAUGACCAUCCGCUGUUGGUGCUCGCCGAUGACAUGGAUUUGACAUUGGAAUUCAAUACGGGUCGAGGCAUAACACCGAUCCCCUCUUAAGGCUUCUCUCUGCGAAAUGGCAGGAUCAUCGUGAUCAAUUUCGAGUCAUAAAUCGCAACACGAAGGCUUUUGUGUAUGCAUGGCAAUAUUUACAAAUUAUGUGCUGGCGAUGGAAUGUUCUGCGAUAGAAGCGAGCGCCAAUGUCAGGGUUAUCCCAUAGAAAGAGACGGGGCCACGAAGACAAAGACGGCACGAGAGGUGGAGCCUUGGCAAUGACAACGCACCCAACAACCGACAACAAGCGACAACAACGAGCAACAACAACCGGCAACAGACAAAACAACAACAAUGACACUGCACUGGUUUACCUUCAGGACGGUCAGCAGUUGGCAAGUUGGAGCCCCAAAGUCCAAAGCCAGUACACCGGGUACACCGAUGUCUGGGCACCCGACAACACGUUCCAUGCGUCCAUCCCACUCCACGCUGCUCAAUUCCCGCCCGCUUUCAUCCUUCGUUCCGGGGAGUUACAAGAACAGGGACCACACUAUGUGGGUACACUUCGAGAAAUGAUGUUAGCGUAUUCCAUCAUUUUCAAUAAAUAAUAAAAAUAUUAACUUUAAUGGAAAUUAAACUGGAAAGUCAUCUUCAGUAAGAGUUCUCAUCAUUAUAUUCAUUCCUUACAUAUAUAAUAAUGAUAAUGAUUUAAUUAUUUCACACUUAUCGCAAAAAAUAGUAAGUAGAGCAGAUAUUAUAACCAGACAUUACACAUAUUUUUCAGUGUAUAAUGCUGUGGUGCAAAGUCGGCCGAUGGCGAGUGCUUCGUAGCGCCCGAGUCAAAGCUAAAGCUAAAGCCAUCCAUCCAUCCAGGACAGAGGCGGCCAGAUUCAAGAGGAGUUGGCCAAGGGGAGGCAACUGUCUGUAAAUUAACGCGGGCGUUAAAAUUGCAAUUUUUCACUUAAUGCACACACUGAGACAACGACAACAAGAACAACCGACUGCAACUGCAACUGCAGCUAAAUCAUGUGAGUGAAGCGACGCUCGAGUAGGAUUGAGAUCGAGAUUGCUAUGACAUUCAUACCUUUAACUCAUUUACGCAUAGCAAAGUCAAUGGCAGCAGCGGCAGAAGCUGAGAUAUCAGAGGAGCAUGUCCAUUUAGAGAUGGGUAAACCAAUCAUAUAAGAAGGGAUUGGGAUAUCAUGGGAUACGUAAAGUUAUAAAAAUGGUAUAAUAACAAAUAACAACAACACAUUUAACGAUAACAAAUUUAAUCUAAGCUAAAGUUCUUUAUUUUGCUGAAAGGUUUCGAUCAUAUUUCCCCAUUUCAACGACUGAUAUAUUGCCCAUCUCUAGGUAGAAAAUCUGUGCCCGACUGAAACUCGUUCCUUAUCGAGAUCUGGGAUCUGGAAUCUUGGCAAGAAGAAGUGGAGGAAUCUUCAUCCAGUUAUCGGUGGACUACCCCGCACCAUCCUUAAGAAUGUGUGGGUGGUGGUGCUGUGCGCGGUUUCGAGCUAUUAAUAAAUUUCAAUAAAGUGCAUUGGCGGCUGCCAUGUGGCAUGUGGCAUAUUUGUGGGGCAUGUGUCACCCCUCCAUGUGCUCCUCCUUCUGCUCCUUCGCUUUUGAAGAUCGCCACAUCCCGAGUUGCCCCUGCAGUCGGUUUCUGCUUAAUUGAAAAUCGCAAAAGCACAAAUUAUGAGAUCCCGUGCCGCUGCCGUCCGUCUGGCUGGCACUUUUCCCGCUAUCUCCUGGUGCAUCUUCUGCAUUUGGCAAUCGAACAAAUAAACAGAGAUAUAUAGUA